rnacentral:rRNA from 1 species
CAAACGGAGAGUUUGAUCCUGGCUCAGGACGAACGCUGGCGGCGUGCUUAACACAUGCAAGUCGAACGGGAGUAUCAAAGAAGCUUGCUUUUAAGAUACUUUAGUGGCGGACGGGUGA